CGUGUAGGCGGCCAACUAAGUCCGACGUGAAAUCCCCAGGCUUAACCUGGGAACUGCGUCGGAUACUGGAUGGCUUGAAUUCGGGAGAGGGAUGCGGAAUUCCAGGUGUAGCGGUGAAAUGCGUAGAUAUCUGGAGGAACACCGGUGGCGAAGGCGGCAUCCUGGACCGACAUUGACGCUGAAGCGCGAAAGCCAGGGGAGCAAACG
rnacentral:rRNA from 1 species